CCCAAACAUUUGAAGCCCCAACAUUGUCCAAUUUUGGGUGAAUUUAAGGCAUUUUUCCCACCCUCCCCUCAAAAAAUGCUAAAAAAUCGCAUUUUUCCGCCAUUUUUCCCAAAAUAUUGGGAUUUUUUCCCCCAUUUUUCCCCAAAAUCGGCUGUUUUCACCCCAAAAAAAACCCCAUACCUCGAACGAUGACCUCCACGCUUUCGCUCGGGGCCGACGGUGCCCAAAUUCUGCCCACCUCCUCCUCCACCACGCAGCUGAAAUGCCCCGAAAACCCCAAUGGGAUUUUUGGGAUACGGAGAUAUGGGGAAAUCCGAGGGGGAAUUAUUGGGGUUCUGGGUCCUCCGACCCCAUAUGGGAUUUCAGGUCCUCCAAUCCUAUAUGGAGACCCCAGUUCUGGUCCUCCGACCCCAUAUGGAGAUCCUGGUUCCGGUCCUCCAAUCCUAUAUGGGAUUUCUGGUCCUCCGACCCCAUAUGGGGUUUCAGGUCCUCCAAUCCUAUAUGGGGUUUCGGGUCUUCCAACCCCAUAUGGGGUUUCGGGUCUUCUGACCCCAUAUGGGGCUUCAGGUCCUCCAAUCCUAUAUGGAGACCCCAGUAUUUGGGAUUUCUGGUUCCGGUCCUCCAGUCCUAUAUGGGAUUUUGGGUCCUCUGACCCCAUACGGGGCUUCAGGUCCUCCAAUCCUAUAUGGGAUUUCCAACCCCAUUUCUCUUCUCCUUCUGACCCCAUUUGGGAUUUCCGACCCCAUUCCUCCCACCUCGACCCUAUUUGGGAUUUCCGACCCCAUUUCUCCCAUCCUGGCCCCAUUUGGGAUCUCUGACCCCGUUUCUCCCACCUCGACCCUAUAUGGGAUUUCCGACCCCAUUUCUCUUCUCCUCCUGAUCCCAUAUGGGAUUUCCGACCCAUCCCUUCCCCCCACCCCAUAUGGGAUUUCAGACCCAUUUCCCCCAACCCUAUAUGGGAUUUCGGACCCGUUAUCUCCCCCCACCCCAUAUGGGAUCUCCACCCCAUUGCGGUAGAAGCGGAAUCUCAGCCCCGAUCCGUUUUUAUGGGGUCGGCAGGUGAGGAGGAGCGCGGAGCCUUCGAUCAGCACCGAAACUUUGGGGUCAACGAGGAGGGAGGGAGGCGGGGGGCGACCUGCGGAAAUUUUUGGGGU
rnacentral:lncRNA from 1 species